ensembl:lncRNA
CAAGGGGUUCAGCAGGCAAUGAGAUGAUGUAGCAGGACCCUGGACUAGACAAGAGAAAACAGGAACAGUACCUUUCUGCUAGAAGGAGCACAGCUGCCCCAGAAUUAUAUGUGCCAACUUUUGUCCCCAGCUCCUGGUAGAGAAUCCCAGGCCAUGGUUUUCAUUUAUCAUUGUUGUUGUUAAUAACUAGCAGCAGCAGCAGCAGCAGCCACAGUGAAUUUCCAGUGGACUGUGGGUGCCAGGCAGUGUGCUCACAGCCUCUGUUAAUGUCUGAUUCAUUUCCUGUUUAACUCGGUCAGAUGAGCAGCAGUAAACCCAUUUCACAGAUGAGGACGCUAACAUUUAGAGAGGUUACCUAAUUCAUUCCCAGCUUCUCAGCUUGUAAGUAGUAAAGCCAUUACACAGAUCAGAAAACUGAGGCCCAGAGAGGGAAAGUGACUCGCUCAAGGUCACACAGCAAGUCGAACUAGCAGAGGGAUGCCAACUCACACUCCAGUCUCUGGGUACUCAGCCCUGUGCUCUUCCCCCUGCACACCUGGACUGUCUCAGCAGCACCAAAGGCACACCAUCCAGGGAACAGGCUGGACCACUAGGCUGUUCUGCAUCCCCAGGUCCUUCCAUGAGGAUGGAACCUAACGCCAAGGAGGGGUACCUUCAGGGAAGACGAAACAGAAGCUGUAAACGGGCAGUCCGUGGGCUGGUCAGAAGUGUUUCUGUCUUGCCUGCAGAACGGCAUAUGAACUUGAUUCAACCCUUUAAAAUUGAGAGAUUCCACAUACAAACCUGGGCUAUAACACAGUGGUAAAUUCCACCGGACCCGGACUUGGGAACAGAGUAUCAACCAAGCACAGUGAGUGAAGAACCACACAGUUCAGCUUCCCGCGCUCUGUCUCCAUUCAGAAAACUCUUUGAGGCUUCCCUACUGUGUUCUUACGUAGGAUCUGAUGGAGGGGAGAAUGACGCAGCCCCUGCAUCUUCAAGUAUUUCCUGCAACAAUCAGGAUGGUUUUCUGCAGAGCUGCUGUGUGUAACAGACAACUCCCAGCUCCCAGCGGCACGGCAGUGUUAGUUGCUCUAAUGUCUGUGGACUUCAGGGGAGCUCUACAUCUGGCUUUGCUGGGUGAGAGGUGAGCUCCAGUCUCCACAGCUGUCUCUAGGACCAGCAGUUCAUCUGGGCAUCCCCUUCUUCUAACAAAUGGCAGAAGUGCAAGUCUGAGGGAAAUCACACAAGCACCAUGAGAGACCCCGCUUUUGUGCAUCUACAUGCAUUUCGCUGGCUAACACCCCAUGACCACACCCAGAGGCAAUGGGGCAGAGAUAAACACACCACCUUCUCUACAGAAAGACUCCCAGGGCAAGGGGUGUGGGUGUAUAAUCCUAUCACAGGGAGGAAGUGAAGACUCAGGACUAGCCAAUCUACUAUACUCAUAAGCACUACCACACUCAUAAGACAGUAAGGAGAUCACACCAGUCAACCCUAAAAGGAAACCAAGCCUGAACAUUCAUUGGAAGGACUGAUGCUGAAGCUCCAAUACUUUGGCUACCUGAUGCCAAGAGCCGACUCACUGGAAAAGACCCUGAUGCAAGGGCAGGAGAAGAAGGGGACGACAAAGGAUGAGAUGGCUGAAUGGCAUCACUGACUCAAAGAACAUGAAUUUGAGCCAACUCUGGGAGAUAGUGAAGGAUAGGGAAGUCUAAGGUGCUGCAGUCCAGGGGGUCGCAAAGAGUAGGACACGGCUUAGCAACUGAAAAACAACACUCAUGAGGAAUCAGCCCUUUCAGUCACUGCUUGCCACUCGGUUGGGCCCUGCAGGAAAGGAGGACAGACACGAUGGGGUGGGUUGGAGUCUGUCUGCACUACGCCAGAACAGUGUGUUCAGGGCUAAAUAGAGAACAAGAGGCCACAGUGGAAAAUGCACUGGAGAAGGGAGCCCACACCUUGGCCACUGGAAAAGAAGGAAAGCGGUCAGGUUUGGUGAUCCUGGGACCUGUGGCAGGAGGGAAGUGUCAGAGCACAAAGCACUUCACCGGAGAGCCGACAAGGCUAACAAGGAGGAGGACCGAGGAGGGGGCCCCGCUGGCAGGCAGCAUCACGGCACCAGAAGCACUUCACGCUAAUUGGCUUGCUUUGGCCAAUGAGUCACCAAAUGCAGGGAUGGAGCCCAAGACCAGGGAAGAUCCUGCAAACAUCAGGUCAGGGCUCAGAGGAAAGCCAGGCGCUGGGCAGCCAGCCUGAUCAGACUCUGCCGGGAUCUCUCUGAAAACCUCCUCCAGCCUGAGUCACUGAGGCUUUCAAACCUUGGUUUUAACCCACUUCAGUCCUCAGGCUUUCCUUGAGAGAAGUUCUACAACAAGAAAGAAUAGGAAAGAAAAGGCAGAGAUUGGAAAGGUUUUUACAAAUACACAGACCAGGUCCUUUAACAGCAGGGAAUUCCUUGGUGGGCGUGAUUCUCCGGGGCUAGAAAGAAAGGCCACCCCAGCCCUCUCUCUUCAGAGCAGCCUGGCAGAAGCUUUCAUAGCAACACCCUGACUUCCUUGGCAACACUGAUUGACAAGAAGUGAACUCCAUCAGCAUUUAUAUGCCUCACAUGGGGCUGUGGUGGCCUGAGAUGGAGAAAGAUGCUUCUCUCCACCAAACACUGGCCCCUGAAGCCAAGGAGUCACACUAACUCCAGCCUUCAGCAGCCAAACCAGCUCAAGCACGCGCUUGGGAGGAAAACACAUAAUAAAUGUCAAAGCUGAGCUCAGCUCCUGGAAUGCAAAGUCACCAAAUCGGUGCAAACUCAUGAGAAGAGCAGAAAUGAAUAAGUUCACUUUUAAAGUUUUACAGAUGCGGAAACUGAGGCUUAUGGAUUCAAGCAGUUCCUUAAACACAAGCUGUCCUCCUAACAACUGGAAUAAAUAAAAUGAGGACUUUGGGCCAGAUCCUAUAUUAAGGACCACGGCAGCCGCCAGUCCCUGCUCUUACCUUUGUAAGGCCUGUAGGAGUCAGGGACUGUUUAUACUGUACUAACACCAGAAGCACAGACCCUUGUGCAGUCCGUGCUGUGGAGUAGAAGCUCCGCACUGUGUGGAGCAGAUGCCCGGAGGAUGCACGCGUGAAUGAAUGGGGGAUGCUUACUAUGCAGAUGACGAAGGGCAGACUUGGAGACCGGUUGGGGAUGAAGGACUGUGAUUCUCCAUCAUCUGCAGCUUAAGCACCAGCCCACGAGGAAACGACAAGGGGAGCUCAUUGAUGAAGAGGCUCAGGUGAGGUGUGGGAUUUAGGGAGGGACUGUGACAGGGAAGGCCACGGAGCCAUCAUCAGGGGGCCACCAACAUUACAACCCCACCCCAGAACAAGGCAGUGAAAGGGGACAGAGUUAUUAAUGCUCCAAUGGUCUAAAUGUCCACUGGUCCCAGCUGCUGAUCCAUAUCUCAACAGCACUAGCUACUGCGAACUGAGUCCCUCCCACGUGUUAGACGUGUUGGACUUUGGUCCUCAUUUCCACCAAGGAAGGGGCCAGUACUCCCAUCUUAGAGACACUGAGUCACUGGGUCACAGGUUGGCCCUAAUAACUGGCCCCACAUCACACAUCCAGGAAACAUUGGGAAGGGGGGAGGCUGGGAUUCAAACCCAUGGAUCCACCCCAAAGCUCAUGGUUGGCCUUUCCUCGGCUCCCACUGGCUGGCUGCUCUCAUCACACAUGCCCCCCACUGAUUGUCAGGGAAACUGUGCGAGGUGAGAGUGGCCAUCUCCAUUGUGCCCACCAAGAAACAGUGGGUCUGAGGGGCGAUGAGAAGGGUUGUAUGCUUUCUCCCUACCCCAAGCCAGGAACCUGGCACACCCUGACCCUGUGGACAGAGCAGCCAAGCCCUCAAGGUGACGUGGAUGACGGAGAGAGUGAACUGCUCUAACCGGGCCUCAGUCCCACUUUCCCUGCCUCCUCCAUCACUCCAGGCUGGAAUUUUUUUUUUGGGGGGGUGGGCAGGGAGAGACCCUACUCUUGUAGGACACCAAAGCUGGCCAUCUCUGUGUCUCUCUCUCCCUCCAUGUUUGCACACAGAGGAAAGAACACGUGACUACACAGCGAGAAGGGGACCAUCUGCAGGCCACAUCAGGCAUCGACCCUGCGGGCACCUGGUGCUGAACAUCCAGCCUCCAGAACUCUCAGAAAAUCCGUUUCUCUGGGUCAAGCCACCGAGGUGGCGGGUCCCGCGAUGGCAGCAUCACCGCCAGCUUCUCUGGCUCCAUCCUGCUGAUGAGGCUGCCACUGGUACCUGGUCUCUGCCAGCCGCGAGGGCCUUCCCUGUUCCCGGAGCCGAGGGGAGGAGGCACUCUGCAGCCUUUCUCAAGCCUCUCAUGCUGCUACGGCAUCAGUGGGCACAUUCCUCAUGAAGAGCCUGGAUGAUAAGGGGGACCAAGGGUGCUUGGGGCUGGAGGGGUUCAGGAGAGGCUGGUCACAGUGCUGUGUCCCUGUCACCAAGAUGCGGCCAUUUCUCAAUGCAGAGGUCAGAGAGUCACCAGACGCUAGAACGACAGGAUAAAGCAGAUAUAACCUGGACUUGACUUCUGGCCCUGCCACUUGCUGGGAGAUUGGUCAUCAGUGGGGCUAUGCACCAGUCUCCUGGCACCCUCGUUUCAGACAGGUGGUAAGAUUGAUCUUCUCGCCUCCUGGAAGUUGGGUGUUGCCAUACCACUUGCUGUGGCCAAUGAAAUCAAAACUUCAAGGACCAGUGCCUGCUUCUCUAUA